rnacentral:lncRNA from 1 species
AAUGAUCACUUAUGCUUCCUAGAAUUAUUGUGUGGUUGCUAGAGUGACUAAAGGUAUUUAUAGACCUUAGUAACACUUGUCUCAUAAAGUGUGAUGUUAUAGUUAUCUCAUGAUGUGUAGAGCUACAAUUUAAUGAUGAAAAGUCUCGUGGUGAGUAGAGAAUAUAAUUGAUGGAGAAAUUAGUGUUCAUCUCUGUCGCACCCCAAAAAAAUCUGGCGCAC